AACGAACGCUGGCGGCAGGCUUAACACAUGCAAGUCGAACGCUCGUAGCAAUACGGGAGUGGCAGACGGGUGAGUAACGCGUGGGAACAUACCCUCCGGUUCGGAAUAACUCAGGGAAACUUGAGCUAAUACCGGAUACGGCUGAGAGGCGAAAGAUUUAUCGCCGGAGGAUUGGCCCGCGUUCGAUUAGCUUGUUGGUGAGGUAACGGCUCACCAAGGCGACGAUCGAUAGCUGGUCUGAGAGGAUGAUCAGCCACAUUGGGACUGAGACACGGCCCAAACUCCUACGGGAGGCAGCAGUGGGGAAUAUUGGACAAUGGGCGCAAGCCUGAUCCAGCCAUGCCGCGUGAGUGAUGACGGCCUUAGGGUUGUAAAGCUCUUUCGCUCGGGACGAUAAUGACGGUACCGAGAUAAGAAGCCCCGGCUAACUUCGUGCCAGCAGCCGCGGUAAUACGAAGGGGGCUAGCGUUGUUCGGAAUUACUGGGCGUAAAGCGCGUGUAGGCGGGUCUUUAAGUCAGGGGUGAAAUGCCAAGGCUCAACCUUGGAACUGCCUUUGAUACUGGAGAUCUUGAGUCCGGGAGAGGUGAGUGGAAUUGCGAGUGUAGAGGUGAAAUUCGUAGAUAUUCGCAAGAACACCAGUGGCGAAGGCGGCUCACUGGCCCGGAACUGACGCUGAGACGCGAAAGCGUGGGGAGCAAACAGGAUUAGAUACCCUGGUAGUCCACGCUGUAAACGAUGGAUGCUAGCCGUUGGGGAGCUUGCUCUUCAGUGGCGCAGCUAACGCUUUAAGCAUCCCGCCUGGGGAGUACGGUCGCAAUAUUA
rnacentral:rRNA from 1 species